AACCCAAAGAAACCGUAUUUACCAUGAGUGAUCAACGAAAGGUAAGGAGCCCACACAUAUACACACCACUCUC
rnacentral:ribozyme from 1 species